GACGAACGCUGGCGGCGUGCCUAAUACAUGCAAGUCGAGCGGACCAAAGGGAGCUUGCUCCUAGAGGUUAGCGGCGAACGGGUGAGUAACACGUGGGCAACCUGCCUGUAAGACUGGGAUAACAUCGAGAAAUCGGUGCUAAUACCGGAUAAUAAAAAGAACUGCAUGGUUCUUUUUCGAAAGAUGGUUUCGGCUAUCACUUACAGAUGGGCCCGCGGCGCAUUAGCUAGUUGGUGGGGUAACGGCUCACCAAGGCGACGAUGCGUAGCCGACCUGAGAGGGUGAUCGGCCACACUGGGACUGAGACACGGCCCAG
rnacentral:rRNA from 1 species